CCUACGGGGGGCAGCAGUCGAGAAUCAUUCACAAUGGGGGAAACCCUGAUGGUGCGACGCCGCGUGGGGGAAUGAAGGUCUUCGGAUUGUAAACCCCUGUCAUGUGGGAGCAAAUUAAAAAGAUAGUACCACAAGAGGAAGAGACGGCUAACUCUGUGCCAGCAGCCGCGGUAAUACAGAGGUCUCAAGCGUUGUUCGGAAUCACUGGGCGUAAAGCGUGCGUAGGCUGUUUCGUAAGUCGUGUGUGAAAGGCGCGGGCUCAACCCGCGGACGGCACAUGAUACUGCGAGACUAGAGUAAGGGAGGGGGAACCGGAAUUCUCGGUGUAGCAGUGAAAUGCGUAGAUAUCGGGAGGAACACUCGUGGCGAAGGCGGGUUCCUGGACAUUAACUGACGCUGAGGCACGAAGGCCAGGGGAGCGAAAGGGAUUAGAUACCCUAGUAGUC
rnacentral:rRNA from 1 species